rnacentral:rRNA from 1 species
GACGAACGCUGGCGGCGUGCUUAACACAUGCAAGUCGAACGCUGAAGCUCAGCUUUUGUUGGGUGGAUGAGUGGCGAACGGGUGAGUAACACGUGAGUAACCUGCCCCCUUCUUUGGGAUAACGCCCGGAAACGGGUGCUAAUACUGGAUAUUCACUGGCUUUCGCAUGGGGGUUGGUGGAAAGGUUUUUCUGGUGGGGGAUGGGCUCGCGGCCUAUCAGCUUGUUGGUGGGGUGAUGGCCUACCAAGGCUUUGACGGGUAGCCGGCCUGAGAGGGUGACCGGUCACAUUGGGACUGAGAUACGGCCCAGACUCCUACGGGAGGCAGCAGUGGGGAAUAUUGCACAAUGGGCGAAAGCCUGAUGCAGCGACGCCGCGUGAGGGAUGGAGGCCUUCGGGUUGUAAACCUCUUUCGCUCAUGGUCAAGCCGCAGCUUUGGGUUGUGGUGAGGGUAGUGGGUAAAGAAGCGCCGGCUAACUACGUGCCAGCAGCCGCGGUAAUACGUAGGGCGCGAGCGUUGUCCGGAAUUAUUGGGCGUAAAGGGCUUGUAGGCGGUUGGUCGCGUCUGCCGUGAAAUCCUCUGGCUUAACUGGGGGCGUGCGGUGGGUACGGGCUGACUUGAGUGCGGUAGGGGAGACUGGAACUCCUGGUGUAGCGGUGGAAUGCGCAGAUAUCAGGAAGAACAUCGGUGGCGAAGCGGGUCUCUGGGCCGUUUACUGACGCUGAGGAGCGAAAGCGUGGUGAGCGAACAGGAGUAGAUACCCUGGUAGUCCAAGGGCGAAUUCCACAGUGGAUAUCAAGCUUAUCGAUACCGUCGACCUCAAAGGGGGGGCCACGGUACCCAUCUUUUGGUCCUUUAGUGAGGGUUAAUUUACCUAUAUGUGGGUCUGUAGUUGUGUAGUAUGUUGUGCGUAUGUUGAUUGUGUGUGGGAUGUGUGAUUGUCUGUUGUGAUGUUUUGGUUGUUGGUGUGUUGUGUGUGUGUGUGGCUGUGUGUUGUGUUGUGGAUGUGUUUUGAUGUUGUGUGUUUUGAUGUGCGAUGAUAGUGUGGUCAUGUGUGUUGAUGUUAUAGUGAGGUGUGUGUGUGUUUGUUGUGUGUUGUGUUGUUGUGUGUGUUGUGUUGUUUGUGUUGUAUGCGUUGUGCUGGUGAUCGUGUGAGUGUGGGUACUGAUGAGUGUGACUCUUAGUGACUGAUGGUGUG